AUGAGGCUAAUCCGACAAGUGAAGCAACGCGUAUUGGCAGCGCUGAUGAACCAACCCUGCACCAGACCAGCACCAGCACCAGCACCAGCACCAAAGACGCUUCUCUCUCGCCCACCCUCGUACGCGCCUCCAUCCACCGUUACCUUCUCGACGAUGAACAAGAACACAGAACAAGAACAUCUGGACUCCGUGUACAAGCAAAAACGAGCGCUCCGAUCCAGGGUCCGCAAGGCCCUCAAGGCUAUGGAGCCCGACCUCAGAUCCCAAGAAGACAAUGUCAUUCAGAGUAUUAUUUUGGAAUCUCCAUGGUUUAAAUCUAGUAGGAGAUUGUGUGCCUAUAUAAGCUGCAGUGCUUUGCGGGAAGUUGACACAUCAAAAUUGUUGUCUGAAACUCUGUCAAAUCCAACUGAAGAGAGGAAAAAUACUUUAUGUUCCACGUGUGGAGGACAAGAAUUGUCACAUGCGCAUGCUGAGAAUCUCAUGUAUUGAUGAUCUUGUUCCAAAUUCAAUGGACAUCUUAGAACCAGUUCCAGUGGAUAGUGAUGGAAACGAACGUGAAGAUGUUAUGCUUGCAAAUGAGCCAGUUGAUUUGUUCCUCUUGCCUGGACUAGCAUUUGACAGAUCUGGAAGGCGCCUGGGUCGUGGUGGAGGGUAUAGUUAUGAAUCCUGGCCUAUCAUUUAAACUUUUAUUAGCCUAUGAAAUUGCGGGUGCUGAGGGUAGGUGAUAUCAUGUGCUCAUUUAGAUAUAAAAUCUCUAUUUUAAGCUCCUAAAGUAUCAGUAUUCAUUCAGACUCCAGAUGCAUUUAUUUGUUGGUAUGGUGUAGCCUCCGAAAUAAUUGGUGAACCAACUUCUGGAACUGCUAUUGUAUAGGAAAUCUCUUUCUCUCUCUCCCAUGCAUUUUAAAGGAAUUUAACUACUUUUAGUCCUGGAUGAAAUUUGACCUUUUAUUCUUAUAGGCCAAUUACAAUUUACAUGUUAAAGUCAUGCAUAACUAAUGUUGCUUUGUUUGAUGAAAAUCAAUAGUUAUUAUGAUACCUUCCUGAAGAAAUACCAAGAGCUUGCAAAGGCAAGGGAUUGGAAGCAACCCCUCCAUGUUGCGCUGUCAUAUUCUGUUCAGAUAAUGGAUGAAGGAGUUAUAGCAGUCACUCCAAAUGACAUUCCUGUGGAUGCUCUCGUAUCCCCAGUCGGUGUGAUUCCUGUUAGCCAAGCUGCCUUAGACAGGAUGAAGCUUUGACUUGCACUUGGAAGUUGGAAACCAAACCAGUUGAUUGCUUUCUUCGAUAAUGGGAUCUUCAUCCUUCAUGAAAUUGGAGUUUGGUUAUGUCAUAAGCUGUUCAAGAAUUGUAUGGUCUCGAUUGUUUGAAAUAAUACGAUUAUACUAUAAAAGGAUUGGGAUUUUAUGUCAUGAGUGGUUAUAUAUAACCAACAUACUCGGGAUUUUAGAAUUGCCAUUCAAGCUUUAUUCCUUAAUAAAUCAGUUUCAUUAAAA